UGAAAAUGGCCAAAAAUGCAUUUCAAUGGGGGCUCAAACGGGUGCUAAAUGGCAUUUUGCUUUCUCUCUCUUCACAUUCACUCCUUUUCUGUUUGUCUUGCUUUUUUCCAAGUUCCUUUCUGGACAAAUCAAACAAAACCAAGCUGCAAGAAGGACAACAAAGAUUGUAUUCCGGUGGUUCUAAUUGACGACUAGAGUAGUGCACUUUAUAUUAGGUAAAUUUUUCCAAUUGAACUGUCUAGGUUUUUGUUCAUAUGUUAAUAUAGCAUGUUUAUUUUGAUUAUUUAUUUAUGGUAACUUGUAAAAUUUGUAAUAGUUGCUGGUUCUCGAGCUUUGUUUGUAUAUUUUAUGAACGCACUUUUUCCUUUCUUUCUAAAAUAUAUUUUUAGUCAUUGUUGCGUAAUGUGGAUUUUAUUUUUAUUGCAUAUAUGUUUUAACAUAUGUAGAAUUAUUUCUUUCUAAUACUUUCAGAUUCUAUUGUUGAAGUUGGAGUGCAAAUAUUCUAUAGUAAUUGUUAGUGUUGAAUGAAUAUUUUUGAACCAUUUGUUAAUGGACAUGUUGAUUUAGUGAACCUUGAAGCUAUCUCUCAAACUAUUAGCGAGUCAUAUCAUGCCUUUAUUUGUCAACAACAUAAUCGAAGAGAAAGAGAUCGGUACAAUCAAGUACAAAUUGAGUGCAUUGAUUUUCGAAAGAGGAUAAAUAACCGUAUGCCAUCUUGGGAGAAUAGCUCAAGUCUUGUUGAAUUGUACGAAUUUACAGCACAUCAUGAUUUUGAAGCUUCAACGUCAAACCAAGUAAUAAUUAAUGGUCUCAAUCUUGAAUUAGAAAAAAGUUCAAACCUAUUGAAUGUAACAAGUACUUCAUAUAUAUUACCAACAAGUAUCGAUUAUAAAUAUUGUGGUGUACAUAAAAUUUUCAAAGAAAGUAAAGGAUUUUGCUGAUAUGAUGAAAAAGUUAAGCUUUUUGUGCUCAAAUCACCAACUUAGAUGUACGCUUUAUGUACUUCUAAAGAACAUGUGUAUGAAAUUUACAAAAAUUGCAAGGGUAUAUAAUAAUCAUUUUGCAUUCAUUUCGUUUGGUGUAAAGUAUGAUAAAGAACUUUUUAAAAUAUAUAGAGGUAUUUAUAUAUUCAUGGUGCAAGAACAAGUGUAUCAUUAUAUAAAUCAACUUAUGUCAGAGAAUAAUACAUCUUCUUAUAUGCAGUUAUAUUUUUAUGAUACACAUAAUAAGCUUCAAAAUCGUAUGAAAAUUUCAAAGAAUUUUGUUGAAUCUAUUUUGAUUAUUUUAAAGCAAAUUCUAACCGUAAAUCCAUAUAGUAGAUUCUUUAGAUCUUUAAGUAGUAUUCCUAACUUGCAACACCAUCGGACAUCUUAGAGUUGAUCAAAAAGUUUUUAAUGCUCCAACAGCAUCUCAAGUAGCUGUUGUAUGGGUCGAAGAUGAUAAAAAUGCAAAUAUACGUGUUCGUGAUAUUACUAUAUAUGGUCAUUUUGGUGAAUCACACAAAAUUCACUAUUACUAUGAUUGUUAUGAUCCUUUACAAUAUUCUUUGAUCUUUCCAUAUGGAGAAUCUGAUUGGCAGGAAGGUAUUGAGAGAUAUACCGGAUCAGAAACCGUCGAAUAGGAUAGUAGUUCGGCUCAAGUUCAUUAAUUGAACAAAUAAGCGAGUGUACACGACAAGAACCGGAUGAGCUGUUUAAGAACCGAUCGGUUCGGACAGUGCUUAAUGAAACGAAGAAACGAUCUCAAGUUUCUUGUCAAGAAUACCAUUUGUACAAAUUACAAAUCAGAUCCCAUGGUACGUUCGUGUUACUUUAUACAAGUAGACUAUUUCAACAAUAUAUUGUAGAUAUGUAUAUUAAGAUUAAAACUACUAUACUAGAUUAUUUUCGUAAUAAAAAAAAUCAUGCUAAACUUUAUCAGGACAUUGUAGAUAGUGUUGAAAGUGAAAAAACAAGGGAGUAUAAAGUUGGAAGAAAAUUUGUUCUACCACAAUCUUACAUGUGGUUCUAGAAAUUUGCUAAGGAGGUAUAUGUAUGCAAUGGCUAUUGUGCAACAUUACAGAAAACUAGAUGUAUUUUUUACUAUGACAUGUAAUUCUAAUUGGCCAGAAAUUAAGCAAGAACUAAAGCACAAUGAUGAAGUUCAAAAUCGACCUAAUCUAAUUGUGCGUAUCUUUAUAGCAAAAUUAGAGGAGUUGAAAAAUGAUUUAUAUAAAAAAAAACUACUAAGCCCUGUUAUUGCUUACAUAUAUAUGAUUGAAUUCCAAAAAAGAAGACAACCUCAUGCACAUCUAUUAUUAAAUUUUAAAUUUGGUCACAAAAUUUAUUGUGCUGAACAUGUUGAUAAGAUAGUUUCUCGUGAAAUUCUUGACAAAGAGAAAUAUUUUUGUCUUCAUUCUGUUAUUGUUAAACACAAUAUGCAUGGGUCUUGUGGAAACCUAAAUCCUAAAAAUAUCUAUAUGGAAUCAAAUAAAGGUUGUAAAAUAAAUAUUUGAAAGAUUAUUGUAAUAGUACUAUUUUUGGUGAUGACUUAUAGCCAUUGUAUAGGCGUCGUUAUAGUGGUAUUUUUUUUAAAGUUGAAGGUGAAAUGUUAGACAAUCAUUGGAUCGUACCAUAAAUCCUUAUUUAAGUGGUAAAUUUGAUUGUCAUAUUAAUGUUGAAGUACGUUCUUCUAUCAAAACUGUUAAAUAUCCCUACAAAAAUGUGUACAAAGGUCAUAAUUGUAUUAAUUUUUUGUAUAAAUACAAAUGAAACAAACAAACAAAUUAAUGAAAUUUCAGUUUAUCAAUAUACUAGAUGGAUAUCUCCACAUGAAACUUUGUGGAGGAUUUUUUUUUGUGAUUUGUCUGAUCUGUUUACUCUUUACAGCUUCAUACUGAGGAUCAUCAACAAUUAACGUAUGCCGAUAAAGAUGAUUUAUUUACAAUUAUUCAAAAAGAAAGUACAAGGAAAACUAUGUUAAUUGAAUUUUUUUAGAAUGAAUGAAACUAAUAAAUUUGCUCGUGCAUUAUUGUAUCGAGAUUUUUCAAAACAUUUUGUUCGGAAUGCAAAUAACAUUUGGACUCCUAGAAAAAAUCAUGUUGUUAUAAGACGAAUUGUUACACAACAAACCCAUCUGAACGAGAACGAUAUUUUCUUCGUAUUCUUCUUAAUCAUAUUACAGGAUCAGAAUGUUUCGAUCUUUUACAAAAUUUGAAUGGUGUAACGGCUCCUACAUAUCUUGAUCUAGCACUUCUACAUGGUUCGCUAGAUGGAGAUAAUCAUUGUCAAAAAUAUAUAUCUUAUACGAGAUGCUUACUGCUUUGAGGCGUCUUUUUAACGCUUUGUAAUCCUAAUCAUCCAAAACUCUUGUAGGAUAAGUUUAAAGUUUAUAUAAUUGAUGAUUAUGUACAUGAAAAUAUAUCUAUAGAGGUUGCUGAAUUACAAGCUUAAGAAGA